AGCUCGUUGUAACCUUGAACUCUUGGCCUCAAGCAAUCCUCCCACCUUGAAUCAUGUGUGAGCCACCCCACCUGGCCUUAGUUUAUAUUCUGCACCCUCAUUCUACCUGCUGAAGAUGCCUGAUUCAGCCUCAAAUUCCUGGGCUCCAACAAUCCUCAAGCCUCAGCCCAGUGACUAGCUGGGACUACAGGCAUGCACCACCAUGCCCGGCAAGUGUAUUGCCAUUGCUUUUGUGUCAGCCAUGAAAAGAACACAAAGAGAUGGCAGAAAGAGAGACUACAGUGGAAGAAACAACACACACUGCAGACACACCCAACUCAGGAAGGACAGAGUCACUCUCAUUAGCUAAAUGUGUACAGUCCAGUUUGCUGAGCCAGUGCUUAUUGGGCUGAGCGCCUGUGAUAACAGAGCAUGGGAACAAUAUUGAUCACAGUGUAGUAUAAGAGAUAAUUAAGUAUAAUUUAUUUAGGGAAAUAUUUCAGAGAAAAAUACCAUUCUGAUGAGUCAAGCACAUAAAAUCCAUGAUAAAGAGAAUGUUUUUGAUGGGUAUGGGAGGGAGUUUCAAGGGACCCUGGCUCCUCCUGGAGGGUGACAGCGUGGCCCUUCCAAGUUAAAACAAAAACUGCCUGGAGAAAUGCAAGGGGUCUUUGUGGGGCCCUGAAGACUUCCUGAAUCUGGAUAAAAAUGUAUCUUUGUUUGGUUAAGAAGACAAGAGUGCAAAAAUCCUGUAAUCUGUCAUAGAAGGAGGGUAGUCUGAGUCUGGCGUGGUCUUCUUGUACUGUGCUGAAAAACACAGACAUUUUUGAGAUAUUAUGCACAAAAGUGGGUUUCGGGUUACCUAAGUGCACUGUUCCUGACAAGUGAAAUUGUACAUGGAGGUAUCUUAGGUGCUGCCCAAAUCAUGCAGGAAGCUUGAGGAAGAUACCUUACUCUCUUAUGCGGUGCCAAAUAUCAGACACACACAUCUCCGAAUUUCAUAUGAAGUGCUGAGCUCUGAUAUUAAAUAUAAAAUAUUAAACACAUUUAUAAAGGUCACUUGCUGUUGGAAGUAACCGCUUGAGGAGAGGCUAAGGCUCAAGACACUUCAUGUGGGAGUGGCUAUUUACUUCAGCCACUCUCCAUCCAAUCCACCACUAAGAAAGGGCUGCACGAUCUUGAAAGUCCAAGAAAUGAAUCCCCAGAGCUGCCUUCUAACUUCGGGAGACUCUAUGCUCACAUUAUUGUAAUGUCACAGAGGCCAAUACAAAAGAGUGAAGAGCCUCCACUCUCCCCUGCACACAUAGAAGCUUUGCUACAUGUGCUCCUGGAGCCGGCUUACAACUAAGUAUCCCCACUGCGGGUGGCACAUUGACCCAGCAGAGAUCCUGAGGUGUACCCUUUUUCAGUCUCUCCUCCUACAGGUUAUCAAUCAGAGGAAACAGUAAAUUAGAACCUUCUAAGAUUGAUCACACCAGCUUUUAAGAAACUUGCAUUUUAAUUCAAUAUAAUCCACAGGUUCAGAAAAAUGAAAAAAAGAAGCUCGCAUUUUAAGCCUAUACUCAAUGCUGGCCCUUAUGCCAAGUAUCAACAGCCAUAAUAAAGGCCAAAUACUCCAUUUUGACUUCACUUCAACGGACUGUAUUUGCCAUUCUGAUUUUUUACCUUUAAUAUAUCUUUAAAAAUACUCUGAAAAAAUACACUGAGUCAUAGCCCAUAACUUAGAAUGGAAUCUUAAAAACGCUGAGUCUAACCUCUUCAUUUUAGAGAAAAGUAAACUAUAUUCAAUGGAGAUGAAAUGCUUUUCACAGGUUGUCUGUGAUACAUCUCACUCUUAGUUAAGCGAAGAGACAUGAUAUGAUACAGUCUUGCUGUUUUUGAGAUCCAAAAAUCCAUUUACCCUUCUAUUGGGCGUCAGUUUUCUCAAGGGAACCCUUGCCUCCCUUCACCCCACUCCUCUGUAAACUAUGCACCAAAACGGACACAUAGACAGAUACCCUCUCAGUCUAUGCCAUUCUGGUAUAGUAAGUGACACAAACAUAAAACAAUCAGCACAUGGCAUCUGCUCUGACCAUAGUGAUUGGUUCAGAAAUGGGCAGUGACUCAAUCAGAGUGAAAAAGA